GGCUUUGGCUCCAUGGCAGAGCAUUUGCUUGGCUGGCAAAAGAUCCCGGGUUCAAACCCUGGCGUCGCCA
rnacentral:tRNA from 1 species